rnacentral:misc_RNA from 1 species
GAUGAAGAACGUAGCGAAAUGCGAUACUUGGUGUGAAUUGCAGAAUCCCGUGAACCAUCGAGUCUUUGAACGCAAGUUGCGCCCGAAGCCAUUAGGCCGAGGGCACGCCUGCCUGGGCGUCACACGUCGUUGCCCCCCCAUCUACUCCUUCGGGAUUGCGGGGGGCGGAUGAUGGCCUCCCGUGCGCCUCGUCGCGCGGUUGGCAUAAAUGCCAAGUCCUCGGCGACGCACGCCACGACAAUCGGUGGUUGCGAAACCUCGGUUGCCCGUCGUGUGCGGUCGUCGCGCAUCGAGGGCUCGAAAAAAUUGCCGGGCUCCGGCUUGGCUUUCAACGCGACCCCAGGUCAGGCGGGGUUACCCGCUGAAUUUAAGCAUAUCAAUAAGCGGAGGA